UACGGGGGGGGCAAGCGUUGUUCGGAAUUACUGGGCGUAAAGGGCUCGUAGGCGGCCAACUAAGUCGGACGUGAAAUCCCUCAGCUUAACUGGGGAACUGCGUCCGAUACUGGAUGGCUUGGAUUUGGGAGAGGGAUGCGGAAUUCCAGGUGUAGCGGUGAAAUGCGUAGAUAUCUGGAGGAACACCGGUGGCGAAGGCGGCAUCCUGGACCAAUAUUGACGCUGAGGAGCGAAAGCUAGGGGAGCAAACGGG
rnacentral:rRNA from 1 species